rnacentral:rRNA from 1 species
UACGUAGGGCGCAAGCGUUAUCCGGAAUUAUUGGGCGUAAAGAGCUCGUAGGCGGUUUGUCGCGUCGGGAGUGAAAACCCAGGGCUUAACUCUGGGCUUGCUUCGAUACGGGCAGACUAGAGGUAUGCAGGGGAGAACGGAAUUCCGUGGUGUAGCGGUGAAAUGCGCAGAUAUCAGGAGGAACACCGGUGGCGAAGGCGGUCUCUGGGCAUUACCUGACGCUGAGGAGCGAAAGUGUGGGAGGCGAACAGGAUUGAGAGUACCCCGAGUAGU